UCAUCGUUGCCACAAGGGAGGGGGAAGAAAUACAACUAAUCUGUCAACAUGUUGUGAAAGGAACGCUGUGUUUUUUACUGUCGAUAUCAUGCAAAUCAGGUUUGUUGCGUUACCGUGCCAACUAUGAGCAGAGACAGCGCUGUCAGGAUCUCGUCUCAUUCACAGAGAGUUUGACAGUUUGGAAGUGCCGCUAACUUAAAUGCUCUAAUCACCCACAGUGUAACGUUAUCUACAGACUAAGAAAUACACUUUCUUUCUCCUGAAAAACAGCAGUUUGUUUACAGAACGACGGCAAGAUUUCCGGCACCUGGCAGCGCGAGCCGCAGACAUUGAUGUGGAAGAUGACACUGCUUCACCAAAAGACAUGUCAAUCUCUCUCUCUCACACACACACACACACACACACACACACACACACACACACACACACACACACACACACACACACACACACACACACACACACACACACACACACACACACACACACACACACACACACACACACACACACAUCUUUCCUUUCUUGUUUAAUCUUCCUCUAACCUGAAUCUAUGUGUUUAUUGAGUGACAUGAUGCAGGAGAAAGCACCCCAACCCCCAUGGUGAACAACUACACACUGCUGUACAUUCGACCCCUACGCUUCUUGAGCGGAAGGCAUUGGUAAUAGACGUGGCUGGUAGACACAGGUCUUGUCAGUUAUACACCCAUGUGAACUUGCUUUAGGAAUACAAGUGAGAAUUAUUCUCAGUAUUGGAGAGCACAGGUUCAAAACACCUGUACUCCUGCAUGCCACUAGUUGGCUCUCUUAUAUCUUCAGUCUCUCCUGGGAGAUGGAGCCAAGUGGAAUCAAGCCUAUUAGGUGUAGCUUGACGUCUCCGAAUUGUCUCCAGGUUGACAGUAGCUCAGGUUUCAUAUAUUGAGUCCGAGAACGGCGUGGCUAUUUGACAUUUUGUUUAUAAUCAAGCUUGUACAAGUCCAAUGUGGUUACCUAUCUAAUUUAGGCUUUCCUCACUACUGGCUCACAUCCUUCACAGAUGAUGCCACUCAAAUGAUGUUGACUAUACUUGUUCAUCGUGAGUCUCUCUCUCUCUCUCUCUCUCUCUCUCUCUCUCUCUCUUUCUCUUUCUCUCUCUCUCUCUCUCUCUCUCUCUCUUUUUUCUCUCUCUCUCUCUCUCUAUAUAUACAGGUACAUAUAUAUGUACAUAUAAACUCAGCAAAGAAAAACAACCCUUUUUCAGGACCCUGUCUUUCAAAGAUAAUUCGUAAAAAUCCAAAUAACUUCACAGAUCUUCAUUGUAAAGGGUUUAAACACUGUUUCCCAUGCUUGUUAAAUGAACCAUAAAGAAUUAAUGAACAUGCACCUGUGGAACGGUCAUUAAGACACUAUCAGCUUACAGAACUUAGGCAUGACAUUAAUAGCUUACAAAACUUAGGACACUGCAGAGGCCUUUCUACUGACUUUGAAAAACACCAAAAUAAAGAUGCCCGGGAUCCCUGCUCAUCUGCGUGAACGUGCCUUUGGCAUGCUGCAAGGAGGCUUGAGGACUACAGAUGUGGCCAGGGAAAUAAAUUGCAAUGUCCGUACUGUGAGAUGCCUAAGACAACACCUGCACAGGAUCGGUACAUCUGAACAUCACACCUGACAGGUACAGGAUGCCCGAGUUACACCAGGAACGCACAAUCCCUCCAUCAGUGCUCAGACUGUCUGCAAUAGGCUAAGAGAGGCUGGACUGAGGGCUUGCAGGCCUGUUGUAAGGCAGGUCCUCACCAUACAGCACCGGCAACAACGUCACCUAUGGGCACAAACCCACCGUCGCUGGACCAGACAGGACUUGCAAAAAGUGCUCUUCACUGACGAGUUGCGGUUUUGUCUCCCCUGUACUUACACCGAGGCCUGUACUCUGGCACUUGAUCUUUUUUGGAGGUGGAAGGUCCGUCAUGGUCUGGGGCAGUGUGUCACAGCAUCAUCGGACUGAGCUUCUUGUCAUUGCAGGCAAUCUCAACACUGUGCAUUACAGGGAAGACAACCUCCUCCCUCAUGUGGUACCCUUCCUGCAAGCUCAUCCUGACAUGACCCUCCAGCAUGACAAUACCACCAGCCAUACUGCUCGUUCUGUGCAUGAUUUCCUGCAAGACUGGAAUAUCAGUGUUCUGCCAUGGCCAGCGAAGAGCCCGGAUCUCAAUCCCAUUGGGACCUGUUGGAUCGGAGGGUGAGGACUAGGGCCAUUCCCCCCAGAAAUGUCUAGGAACUUGCAGGUGUCUUGCUGGAAGAGUGGGGUAACAUCUCACAGCAAUAACUGGCAAAUCUGGUGUAGUCCAUGAGGAGGAGAUGCACUGCCACACCAGAUACUAACUGUUACUUUUGAUUUUGUCCCCCCUUUUGUUCAGGGACACAUUAUUCCAUUUCUGUUAGUCACAUGUCUGUGGAACUUGUUCAGUUUAUGUCUCAGUUGUUGAAUCUUGUUAUGUUCAUAAAAAUAUUUACACAUGUUAUGUUUGUUGAAAAUAAACGCAGUUGACAGUGAGA